GUUGUGAUUUCUGCCUUUUCCCCUUCCUCCUUGGGCUAAGCCAGACCAGAAAGGGCCCCGUGCGCAACGUGCUUCACAAUCUCUCAGGGAAAGCGGCUAACGUGGCGCUACUCCGCCUCCCCUGUUCCUUACCCUUGGGGCGGCCGCCAUGUUUCCUGAACACAAAAUGGCGACACGUGGUUAGCAUUCGUCGCCAACGAGAAAUUGGGGUCGGCCCGAAAGCUCUAGAAUGCACCCCUCUUCCUCCCCGGGGCCUUCCACCUCCGCGAGUUUUAUGACUUAAAAAAGCCCACAGGCUGGUCUGAAGAGGAAGACAAACAUAAAGAUGAAGUGCUUAAUUCAAGGUCACACAAUGUCGGGGAUGGACCUCCAGAUUUCCUUACUGAGACGGAGUCUUGCUAUGUUGCCCAGGCUGGUCUUGAACUCCUCACCUCAAGCGAUCCUCCCGUCUUGGCCUCCCAAGUGUCAGGAUUACGGGCAUGUGCUAUCACACCCAACCUGAUACAUUGCCUUUAUAAAUUUUUUUUUCUUUAUUCUAAAAACCAGAAAAAACAAAACUGGAUACAUGUGCAGAACAUGCAGACCAAGUGUGUUGGGGACUUGAGAUGCGUACAUGAGUGUGAUGUUUCCUGCUGAAAGCACAGGUGAGACGUGGUCUUGUAACACAGUGGUUAAGAAUGUGACUUUGGAGCCAGCCUGCUAGGGGCUGAAUUCUGACUCAGCCAUUUACUAACUGUGUGACCUUAGGCUGGAGUGCAAUGGCAUGAUCUCGGCUCAUCACAACCUCUGCUUCCUGGGUUCAAGCGAUUCUCCUGCCUCAGCCUCCCGAGUACCUGGGACUACAGGCACUCGCCACCAUGCCCGGCUGAUUUUUGUAUUUUUAAUAGAGAUGGUUUCACUAUGUUGGCCAGGCUGGUCUCGAACUCCUGACCUUGUGAUCUGCCCACCUCAGCCUCGAAAAGUGCUGGGAUUACAGGCGUGAGCCACUGCGCCCAGCCUUGUAUUUUUUUUCAGUUUGGGUAGCUGUCCCUAAUUCAUUUGUUAAAGGAGAAGCAAGAGCAAGAACCUUUAAUCUGUUCUCCUCUUCCCUAAUUUGAAAGUAGCUUGUUAUUUUGAAUAUCACUUUCUCUGAAAUAGCACAUCUCCAUCUCAGAGAAUGGAUUUAAUGUUUGGAUACAGCCAAAAGUCAUUUCAUUACCAAACCAUGGGGUGAAUAUACCAUGUAAAGCAGUUUGGGAUCAGAACUCACAGUCUGAAUUGUAAGUGAUGAGACUGCUGUCUCUCUGCUACAGCUUCUUGGCUGGCUCUGAAGGCUCUUUGAAGGCAGAUCCUAACAAGGGGACUGCUUUGAAGGGCCAUUGUUCAUUUGGAAUGAUAAAGUCUAUGUUGUUCAAAAAACAAAUGCUUGUAGCAGGUAUUUUUUCACUCCAGACUGAGAAUAUUGGUGGGAUAUUGAUAAGGGGUACUGAAUGGUAAUAAACAUGUGCUCUAGCUCUGUGCUAGUCAGCUUAUUUCAGAACUCUAGUUUGAUUCAGUUUCUUGCCUCUGACUCAAAAUGGAGGGAGAGUGAUUUUUACAUAAGAGAACACACCCACAUAUCCUUUUGGCAGCAGCUACCUGCCAGAGAUGUUGAAGAAGAGUAGCCAACCUUUACACAGCAGAUAUUGUGUGCCAGUCAUAGUCCUAAGUAUAAUACCUUACAUGUAUAAACUUCUUAUAAGGUUGGUGCUCUGUACCGAAUUGAAUAGUAUCCCCCAAAAUUCAUGUUGUCCCAGAACCUAUGAAAGUGAUCUUACUUGAGGGAGGGGGGAGGGGGGAGGGAUAGCAUUAGGAGAUAUACCUAAUGCUAAAUGACGAGUUAAUGGGUGUAGCACACCAGCAUGGCACAUGUAUACAUAUGUAACUAACCUGCACAUUGUGCACAUGUACCCUAAAACUUAAAGUAUAAUAAUAAUAAAAUAAAAAAAAAAAAGAAAGUGAUCUUACUUGGAAAUAAGGUCUUUGCACAUAUGAUCAAGUUGAGAUGAAGUUGUACUGGAAAGUCUGUCUAGUGACUGGUGUUGUCAUAAGAAGAGAGGGACACAGAGGGAAGAUGGCCACAUGAAGAUGGAGGCAGAGAUUGCAGUUAUGCUGCUGCAAACUAAGGAAUGGCUCUGGCCCUCCAAGGAUUGCUGAUAACCACCAGAAACUAGAAGAGACAAGGAAGGAUUCUUCCCUAGAGCCUUCAGAGGGAGCAUGGCCCUACUGACACCUGGAUUUCAAACUUGUAGCUUCCUAAACUGCAAGAGAAUAAAUUUCUGUUGUUUUAAGCCAUAUAGUUUGUGGUAAUUUGUUAUGGCAGUCCUAGGUAAU
rnacentral:lncRNA from 1 species